CUUACGGCCACCAGAAUUUGCUUCCCACGUCGAAAGAGAUAGAGACCGCACCACCAACUCCACGAAACCGGGUCUCUCGCUUCCUUCCAAGCCAACAAAACGAGGCAGUCUCAACUCCCCGUAGAAAUUCCCCAUUCAAAACUAGCUCCCGUGCGGAAUCUCAAGCUCAUCAAUGGUGGCGUCGAGCACCUGAGCUCCACUCCACUCCACUCCACAAGCGCGACGCUACCCUGCACCGGAUUCGCGACUCUUCGCCACCGGAAGGGCGGAGAUGGUGGGGGGAGGCGGCGGGGGCGGGGCGCUGCGGCGGGUGGGGAAGUACGAGGUGGGGCGGACCAUCGGGGAGGGCACCUUCGCCAAGGUCAAGUUUGCGCAGAACACCGAAACGGGGGAGAGCGUCGCAAUGAAGGUGCUCGACCGCUCCUCCAUCCUCAAGCACAAGAUGGCCGAACAGAUUAAGAGAGAGAUAUCCAUAAUGAAGCUUGUGAGGCAUCCCAAUGUGGUCAGGCUACACGAGGUUUUGGCAAGCCGGAAGAAGAUAUUUAUAAUUUUGGAGUUUAUCACUGGUGGUGAGCUAUUUGAUAAAAUUAUUCGUCAUGGGAGACUCAAUGAAGCAGAUGCACGCAGAUACUUUCAGCAGCUUAUUGACGGUGUUGAUUUUUGUCACGGCAAAGGAGUCUACCAUCGAGAUUUAAAGCCCGAAAAUCUCCUCCUUGAUUCCCAAGGUAAUCUUAAAAUUUCAGACUUUGGACUCAGCGCAUGGCCUGCCCAGGGAUCUUCCCUUUUACGUACAACCUGUGGUACCCCGAACUAUGUCGCCCCAGAGGUUCUCAGUCAUAAAGGAUAUAAUGGAGCACUUGCUGAUACCUGGUCAUGUGGAGUUAUUUUAUAUGUCCUUUUGGCAGGUUAUCUUCCAUUUGAUGAAGUGGAUUUGACUACCCUUUAUGAGAAGAUUGAGAGUGCCGAAUAUUCAUUCCCACCUUGGUUUUCAGGUGGUGCAAAGUCACUGAUUCGUAGAAUUCUUGACCCAAAUCCAGAUACACGAAUCAGGAUAGAAGAGAUCAGAAAUGAUGAAUGGUUUAAGAAGAAUUAUGAACCUGUCAAAGAAGUAGAAAAUGAAGAAGUAAAUCUCGAUGAUGUUAACGCAGCGUUCGAUGAUCCUGAGGAAGAUACUGAGCAUACUUUUGACGAUGAAGCAGGUCCUCUGACACUUAAUGCAUUCGACCUAAUCAUUUUGUCUCAAGGAUUGAACCUUGCAGCCCUAUUUGAUCGCAAACAGGACUAUGACAAGCUUCAAAACAGAUUCUUAUCCCGCAAACCGGCAAAGGUUAUCUUGUCAAGUAUGGAGGUUGUUGCGCAGUCUAUGGGGUUUAAGACGCACAUUCGCAAUUAUAAGAUGAGGGUGGAAAAUCUAAAUGCGAACAAGACUAGUCAUCUCACAAUUAUGGUUGAAGUGAGUAUGCUCUCUUUGUGGUCAAGUUUUCGAAGUUGCUCCAUCAAUCUUCAUGGUGGAACUACAAAGAGCAGCUGGAGAUACUUCAGAGUAUAACACGUUCAUAAAUAACUACAGCAGCAAAUUAGAUGAUAUCGUCUGGAAAUUUCCAAUUGAAAAGGGCAAAUCAAGGAUAUCACGAUUAUCAAAGUGCUAAUUGUUCAUCGACAUCUGCCAUCUGUACCAUGCAUAAUCUAAUGUUUUGUGGUAUCGUGGACUUGAUGAGUGAAUGUGCCUGUUAAAGUAUAUCACAAUUGAUCUGCAAUAUUCUAGUCCUAAGAGUUGAUCUUCGAGUAGUAUGCCAUGAUUGCAUAUUGUAGCCCUAAGAGUUGAUCUUCGAGUAGUAUGCCAUGAUUGCAUAUUGGAGUCCCCAUGUACUAAGAGGGCCCGUCCAGUAGAGGUUUCUCUGUACAAAGUUUUCAGCGCUGUUUUAGAUUAUCUGUAGCUCACCUGCCUCCUGGUUUGUUUGGGAAGAAGUGUGUUUCUUGAAUACACCGCUUGAUCUGUAAACUGCCUCAAGAGGUUCUGAUUUCUUUUCAUUUGUACUGCUAUGUUACUAACGUGCAUUAGGAUAAAUGUGUUCAGUCCAGGAUGACGAAAUGUGGCAUUGCACUGUCA